UUGACAGCUCAGAGGUUGCAAGCAGAAGUGUUCACAGUGCAACCCUGUCAGAUUCCACUGAAUCUGUGAAUUCUGCU
rnacentral:ribozyme from 1 species